AUUGAACGCUGGCGGCAGGCCUAACACAUGCAAGUCGAGCGAGCGGCGGACGGGUGAGUAAUGUAUGGGGACUGCCCGAUAGAGGGGGAUAACUACUGGAAACGGUGGCUAAUACCGCAUACUAUCGGAUAACCCAUAUGGGAUUAGCUAGUAGGUGGGGUAAAGGCUCACCUAGGCGACGAUCUCUAGCUGGUCUGAGAGUAUGAUCAGCCACACUGGAACUUGGACACGGCCCCGACUCCGAGGGAGGCAGGAGGGGGGAAUAUGGCACAAGGGGAGCAAGCCUGAUGCAGCCAUGGCGGGUGUGUGAAGAAGGCCUUAGGGUUGUAAAGUACUUGCAGCGGGGAGGCAUUACCCGCAGAAGAAGGACCGGCUAACGCCUUGCCAGCAGCCGCGGUAAUAC
rnacentral:rRNA from 1 species